AGCGAACGCUGGCGGCGUACUUAACACAUGCAAGUCGAACGGGGAUCAUCGGUGUAGCAAUACAUCGGCGGUCCUAGUGGCGCACGGGUGAGUAACACGUGGGUAACCUGCCCUCGAGUUCGGGAUACCCUCUCGAAAGGGAGGCUAAUACCGGAUACGUUCCUCGGGUUGCGAAAUCUGGGGAGGAAAGGUGGCGAAAGCUGCCGCUCUUGGAGGGGCUCGCGGCCUAUCAGCUAGUUGGUGAGGUAAUGGCUCACCAAGGCUAUGACGGGUAGCUGGUCUGAGAGGACGACCAGCCACACGGGAACUGAGACACGGUCCCGACUCCUACGGGAGGCAGCAGUGGGGAAUUUUCCGCAAUGGGCGAAAGCCUGACGGAGUGACGCCGCGUGGGGGACGAAGGCCUUCGGGUCGUAAACCCCUGUCAGAGGGAAAGAAGGGUGUCGGCGCGAUAACCGCCGGCACUUGACGGUACCUUCAGAGGAAGCCCCGGCCAACUCUGUGCCAGCCGCCGCAGUAAUAC
rnacentral:rRNA from 1 species